GAAAGUGCUGUUUGCUCAGGAGUAUACGACUCUGUGACCCCAUGAAGUAGCCUGCCAGGCUCCUCUGUCCAUGAAAUUCUCCAGCCAAGAAUACUGGAGUGGGUAGCCACUCCCUUCUCCAGGGGAUUUUCCCAACCCAGGGACUGAACCCAGGACUCAUGCAUUGCAGGCAGAUUCUGUACCAUCUGAGCCAGCAGGGUACUUCAUCAAAUGCAAGAUGCAGAAGCAUCGUGUUUAGCAGACCAAAGAGCAGAGAAUUGGAACAGUGGAAAAAGAAGGAGAUGGCUUUCCCUCAACCAAAGAUCUUGUUGCCACUUCACAGCCACCCUCAAACAAACACUCAUAUAUGAGUUGUGCCCAUUUGAAUUCUAAAGCUGAAGGUGGACACGGAGCAGGCAGCUGGGAUGUGGACUCAGAGACCAAAGCCAUGUGGGGUUUCCUUCUCUGUGGCUGGCUGAAGACACUUCUCUCCUUGAACAUGCCUUUGACAUAUAAAACUCAGCAACAGAAUAGCUUCAGAGAUUUGCUAAAAUCAUAUGUAAAUCUCACUGGGGCUGUUCGUGUGACUUUUAUUUAAAUGAACUCAUGAUGUUUGGAAAGGCAGCUUCCUCGGAAUCAGAAACUUUGGUUAACAGAAUGUUUUGGUGAGGUCAUCUGACAUCCUUGAAAACAAAUCCCAAUGGAUAUAAUGCCCUGUGCAAUUGCUGUUGCCACAUUCAUUGUGUUUCUAACUUUUGUCGGUAAAGCCUUAUUUUAUUUCUUUUUUUCUAUUGACUGUUUUCCAUGAGCUCCAUCCUCUGACAAGUGCUGUAAGUUUUGCAGAAGAAUACAUAGUCCCCUACCUUCCCAGGAGUGAACACUCCUAAUGAGGAGCAAGUGUAGCGAUUAAAGGUUGCAAAAUGGUAGAUGUGGCCAGCAGAUGUAAUUUGUUUGCCAUAUAG